AGAAAAAGGUUAAUUGUGCUUUGCCCUAACCCCUUCUUGUUCGUGCUCUGCCCCAACUCCUCCGUCAAAAGCCCCAACGCGAGGAGACACUCACUGCCCUAACUCUUCCUCCUUCAUUGUGCUUCGCCCUCACUCGCUGUGGAUGCUCCCCUUUGCCGCUACUCCCUUACGUCGCUGCAAAACCCUAACCCCCUAACCCCUUCCGCGCCGCUCCCUUCCUGCUUCUUGCUUCUUUGAUGUAUUGAAGGCAAUCUCGUUGAAGCAGAAGUGGGAUUUGAACGAUUUGUGGGUUCUCAAUUUAGAAUCUGUUGGGAACAGGUUCAGGUUCGGAACGUUUCAGAACUUCGAGUUCAGAAUUGGGUUUGGGAAAAAGAGCAAUUUUUCUGUGAAAUUCCCUUAGCCACAGGCGCUGCAGAAGUAGAACGCGGUCACCGCCGAGGCGCCGCACAAGGCACAGAAGCAGAAGCACUUCAUCGCCCUCUCCUCCUCCUCCUAAAUCGCGCAGUCCCAGUGUUGUUGCGAACCAUCAUAAGCUCAAAAAAGACGAAGAAGAAAAGAGAAGUUGGAUUAGAUCACAUGACAUGACAUGUUGGUAAAUGGUAAUUUUGGUGCUUAUGUCAGUCUUCACAAUUUAGGUUCUGAAUAUUCCAACCAAGAUCAACAAGGGUAUUGUUGAAAUUAUCACCCCUGGAACUUAUUAAGAAGGGUGACAAGGUCGGUUCUUCUGAAGCUGCACUGCUUUCCAAGCUUGGCAUCAGGCCCUUCUCAUAUGGUCUUAUUGUCCUGUCUAUGACAAUGGUUCAGUAUUUAGCCCUGAGGUUCUUGAUCUCACUGACGACGACCUUGUUGAGGAGUUCGCCGUUGGAGUCUCAAUGGUGACCGCACUCUCAUUGGCCAUUUCAUACCCGACCCUUGUAGCUGCCCCACAUGUUCAUCAACGCCUACAAGAAUGUUUUAUCUGUUGCCAUUGAGACAGAUUACUCUUUACCAGACGCUGACAAGGUAAAGGAUUAUUUGAAGUUAGAUAACAAGAAGCUUGAAGCUUUGAAAAAGAGCAAGGAUCGUAGCAUUGUAACGCAGCUUUAUGUUAGGGAUGCAUCUAAGAACUGGAAGUUGGUUCAGUCGGAAGGGAAUAAUCGAUUCUCUCUGAGAGCCAUCAGAAAAUCUAAUCUUGCUGGACUAUUUCAACCGAGAGACAGAAGGGUAUUGUAGAUUUCGAUGAUCAUCUUGAUGAUAUAAGCAAGAAAGACUGGGCCAGCUGUAGCAGCAUGAUGACAAAGUAGAACUAAAGAAGCAUGAUUUCUUGCACUAUUCUUAUAUGUAAAUGUUCUUCAUUAUUGAUUACUAAUGAGCUUGUGCUGAUGUUUGUGCCUCGGCCAUUGAAAUUUUAUGUUAAUAUGUACUUUAUAAACGUGCUUUUAAUUUCUUAGUCAAUGCCCCAAUGGUCCUUAUGUUGAUUUCUGGCACAAUCAUGGUGCUGUUGUACUUCCAUUGUAUAGUUGCAUUAUUAGUUCUUGAUAUCAUUGCCUUAAUGUGUACAGUUAUUUCCUUUUCCUUUUUCUAAAUUAUAUUCAAGUUUA